CUAAACUGUAAAAUUGUCAGUGAACUGUGAACGGGCAGUUUGAAAAGGGAACACAGUGAGAAUCUGUGGCAGCCCCCGCUACUGUAAAAAGGAGUUUUAUCUGAUUUUUACUUUAUAUAAUAUAGGUAGAAAAGCCACUGUGAACGGAUUCAUGGGAAGGCAGAUAAAAUGUUGAGUUUGAGCCAGGAGACCUGCUGACGAUCGGAACACAAAA
rnacentral:ncRNA from 19 species